GUACAGAUGAUGAUGACAUAACAGUAUGAGAUGACCUAUGAUACUGUAAACGCUUUCUGAUGUA